rnacentral:lncRNA from 1 species
GUCUAUAAUUAUGAUUAAACAAAAUGAAGACAAAAAAUAUUAAAAUCUAUAAAGCUGUUAUCAGGAAAAUGCAAACAAUGACCAGAACACAAGAAAUAAGGAGACUCCUUGGAGAACUACUGAGAAUAUAUUGUUCAAAAUUUCCGGAUAUACUUACAAUCAUGGCAAUCAUGAGGGCCAUGACAAAGGCAAAGACAAAGAUCUUCAUAUUUGGCUGAUUCCUGUGAAAGCAUAUGUGAAAAUCAGUAGCAUAUUCACUCCUGCAUUUGCAAGUCAAACAUUUAUUGACUGACUAUUCUCCAAAGCCUUGGGAAACACACUGGAAACACAAAGACAGUGGAAGCACAUUGCCUGACAUGAGGGAACUUAGAGGUUGGCAGGGGACAUUGCUAAAUCAAUAUAGGUGCCACGAUUUGGAAAUAGGAACGUGCUAUAGAAACACCCAAAAGGGACAUCUUGAAGAGACCAAGAGGAUGAGGACAUUAAAAUAAAGCAAAAGCUAGGCUUUUUUUGUGCUAGGCUAUAUAGAAGAAAGGAGAGGUGUUGGGAGCCAGCUGAAGAACACAAAGGAAGGAGAGGGUAGCAUGCUAGAAGGGACAUCAUUCAGCAUGUAAGGAGGACAAUGAUGGGAUCAGGCCAAGCCCUUAGACUGUUGUGAGAUUAUGGUGGCCACAGAAUGGCAUGAGUGUAAAGAAAUGUUUAGAAGACAGAAUGACAAGCAACAGGGACUGGUUUCUUAACAGAGUGAGUGAAAAGGAACCAGGUUCCUGGCUGAGAAGGGUGUAGAUGGUGUGACCCUGGUAUUGGAAAAUGAAUGAUACUUGGCAGAGAAACAUCAAAUUGAAAAGAAUUUUCAGGGAUUAGGAUUCCUGGGUGGCUCAGUGGUUUAGUGCCUGACUUCAGCCCAGGGCGUGAUCCUGGAGUCCUGGGAUCAAGUCCCACAUUGGGCUCCCUGCAUGGAGCCUGCUUCUCCCUCUGCCUGUGUCUCUGCCUCUCUCUCCGUGUCUCUCAUGAAUAAAUAAAUAAAAUCUUAAAAAAAAAAAGAAUUUCCAGGGACAAUAUCUGUAGAUACUUUGACAAAUAGAAUUGUUGAAAAUAAUGUAUUCUCCAUAUUAACCACUUCAACUAAAUUAACAUGAUAUGGGAUUAAUUGACAUGUAUUUGUAAUUCUCUAUAUGUAAGCGAAUCCAAUUUUAUUGCUGUAGAAAAAGAAAUUCUUUCUUUCUUUCUUUCUUUCUUUCUUUCUUUCUUUCUUUCUUCUCUUUCUUAGAUUUUAGAUUUUAUUCAUGAGUGAUGCAGAGACCUAGGCAGAGGGGAAGCAGGCUCUCUGCGAGGAGCCCCAUACAGGACUCAAACCCAGAACCCCUGGAAUACUACCAGAUCCAAAGGCAGAUGCUCAACCAGUAGAACCACCCAGAAAUCCUGAUUAUUUAUUUCUUAAUUGAAGACAUAUAAAUAAAAAUUUUUCAAAAUAUAAGAUAAAUAAUAGGUCAAAUCUUUUUUUCUCAACCACCAGUUUUGAUAGAACAUUAGAGUAACGACUUAUGUCUAUAGGGAGAAGCAACUGUUCUUCUGCUAAUAACUCUAAAUCUUUAACAUACAAAGCAGACCUCGGGGCUAAUGACAUUUUCCUUGUUCUUUAUCUGCUAAUUUGCCCCAAUAGUUUGAACUCAGAUCUGUGGCAUUAGACAAUUAAUGAGAAUUAAAUAUUUCUUGGUGAAAUUUUUCUAUCAUCUACUUGCUAAGCAAAAUAUUCAGUCAUGUUAUGAUACAGAAUAGGAUGUUUCUAGCUGGCAUUUUGUUAAAAGUAGAAGAUUGGGAGAAAUUAACAGAAAGUGAUCAUAGAUAGAUAGAUAGAUAAAUGAUAGAUUAUUAAGGGCUUUGAAAUAAUAGUUCCCAAGGAACAGAAUGAUAAAAGUCUGAGAUACUACAAGUUUUUUUUUUCCCAGCCAAAUUAAAAUAAAAUUAAAAUGGGUUAAAUGAAAUGAAUUAUUAAAAUGAAAAAGUGCCUUUAUACAUUAUUAAUUAUGCAGAAACAAACUAUUUAGAAUGAUGAAAAGAGCAUGGAAAGAU